CCCGACGAACAUUUCUGGGUGACACUCAACAGGAUUCCCGGAAUGAUCCCUCUCUUGUCACCCAGGCUGGAAUACAGUGGUACUCAAACUCACUGCAGCCUUUAGCUCCUAGGCUCAAGCAAUCCUCCCACUUCAGCCUCCCCAGUAGCUGGGACUACAAGAGUGCACCACCACGCUUGGCUAAUUAAAAAAAAAAAAAAUUGUGGAGAUGGUGUCUUUCUGUGUUGCCCAGGCUGGAGUGCAGGUGUGCAAUCAUUGUUCACUGCAGUCUUGAACUCCUGGGCUCAAGUGAUCCUCCUGCCUCAGCCUCCUGAGUAGCUGGGACCACAGGUGGGAGCCACAACGCCUGCCUAAUUUUUAAAAAAAUUUUUAGUAGAGAUAGGGUCUCACUAUGUUGCCCAGGCUGGUCUCAGACUCCAGGCCUCAAGCAAUCCUCCCGCCUUGGCCUCCCAAAGCACUAGGAUUACAGGUGUUCCUGGCUCUAUGCCAAAUGCAUCCUGGACUGGAAACCUCAGAGCUAUAAAGUGGAGUGACAUGGAAGACAGACACGGAGGCUGCCACGGCCACUAUGUACGUGGUAUUUGUAUCUAUGGAAACGGAGACUUAAAGU
rnacentral:sRNA from 1 species